UGGGAUAGAGCUUAAUGGUAGAGCACGUGCCUAGCAUGCAUAAGACCCUGGAUUCCACCCCCAGCAUUACAA
rnacentral:tRNA from 1 species